GCGAACGCUGGCGGCAGGCCUAACACAUGCCAGUCGAACGAACUCUUCGGAGUUAGUGGCGGACGGGUGAGUAACACGUGGGAACGUGCCUUUUGGUUCGGAAUAACUCAGGGAAACUUGUGCUAAUACCGAAUGUGCCCUUCGGGGGAAAGAUUUAUCGCCAUUAGAGCGGCCCGCGUCUGAUUAGCUAGUUGGUGAGGUAACGGCUCACCAAGGCGACGAUCAGUAGCUGGUCUGAGAGGAUGACCAGCCACACUGGGACUGAGACACGGCCCAGACUCCUACGGGAGGCAGCAGUGGGGAAUCUUGCGCAAUGGGCGAAAGCCUGACGCAGCCAUGCCGCGUGAAUGAUGAAGGUCUUAGGAUUGUAAAAUUCUUUCAACGGGGACGAUAAUGACGGUACCCGGAGAAGAAGCCCCGGCUAACUUCGUG
rnacentral:rRNA from 1 species